GAGGGUAUAGCUCAAGUGGUAGAGCACAUGCUUAGCAUGCAUGAGGUCCUGGGUUCAAUCCCUGGCACCUACU
rnacentral:tRNA from 1 species